rnacentral:rRNA from 1 species
UACGAAGGGGGCUAGCGUUGUUCGGAAUUACUGGGCGUAAAGGGCGCGUAGGCGGUCUGUCGCGUCGGCUGUGAAAUCCCGAGGCUCAACCUCGGGUCUGCAGUCGAUACGGGCAAACUGGAGUGUUGCAGGGGAGACUGGAAUUCCUGGUGUAGCGGUGAAAUGCGCAGAUAUCAGGAGGAACACCGGUGGCGAAGGCGGCUUUCUGGACAGAUACCGACGCUGAGGCACGAAAGCUAGGGGAGCAAACAGG